CCUACGGGUGGCAGCAGUGGGGAAUAUUGCACAAUGGGCGAAAGCCUGAAGCAGCAACGCCGCGUGAGCGAUGAAGGCCUUCGGGUCGUAAAGCCCUGUUCUCAAGGAAGCUAAUGACGGUACUUGAGGAGGAAGCCCCGGCUAACUACGUGCAAGCAGCCGCGGUAAUACGUAGGGGGCUAGCGUUAUUCGGAAUUACUGGGCGUAAAGGGUGCGUAGGUGGAUUCUUAAGUCAGAGGUGAAAGGGUACGGCUCAACCGUAGUAAGCCGUUGAAACUGGGAAACUUGAGUGCAGGAGAGGAAAGUGGAAUUCCUGGUGUAGCGGUGAAAUGCGUAGAUAUUAGGAAGAACACCAGUUGCGAAGGCGGCACUCUGGACUGUAACUGACGCUGAGGCACGAAAGCGUGGGGAGCGAACAGGAUUAGAUACCCGUGUAGUC
rnacentral:rRNA from 1 species